GCCUGCCCUGUGACUAUAGGUUUAACGGCCGCGGUAUUUUGACCGUGCGAAGGUAGCGCAAUCACUUGUCUCUUAAAUGGAGACCUGUAUGAAUGGCACGACGAGGGCUUAACUGUCUCUCUUUUCCAGUCAAUGAAAUUGAUCUCCCCGUGCAGAAGCGGGGAUAACAACAUAAGACGAGAAGACCCUAUGGAGCUUUAAACACUAGAGCGGACCAUGCUAAAAACCUUAUAUAAAAGAGACAAGCUAAUUGGAUACCAAACUAUCGUUUUUGGUUGGGGCGACCGAGGGGAAAAACAAAACCCCCAUGAGGAACGGGAGUCAACCUCCUAUAGCCAAGGGCCACAGCCCUAAGAAUCAGAAAAUCUGACCAUAAAGAUCCGGCAAAGCCGAUCAACGGACCAAGUUACCCUAGGGAUAACAGCGCAAUCCCCUUUUAGAGCCCAUAUCGACAAGGGGGUUUACGACCUCGAUGUUGGAUCAGGACAUCCUAAUGGUGCAGCCGCUAUUAAGGGUUCGUUUGUUCAACGAUUAAAGUCCUACGUGAUCUGAGUUCAAACCGGA
rnacentral:rRNA from 1 species